rnacentral:rRNA from 1 species
UACGUACGAGGCGAGCGUUAUCCGGAAUUACUGGGCGUAAAGCGCGCGCAGGUGGCUCGCUAAGUCGGACGUGAAAUCUCCCGGCCUAACUGGGAGGGGUCGUCCGAGACUGGCCGGCUUGAGGCUGGCAGAGGUAGGUGGAAUUCCUGGUGUAGUGGUGAAAUGCGUAGAGAUCAGGAGGAACACCGGUGGCGAAGGCGGCCUACUGGGCCAGCACUGACGCUGAGGCGCGAAAGCUCGGGGAGCGAACGGG